UACGUAGGUGGCAAGCGUUAUCUGGAAUUACUGGGUGUAAAGGGUGGGUAGGCGGCAUGGUAAGCCAGAUGUGAAAGCCUUGGGCUUAACCCGAGGAUUGCAUUUGGAACUAUCAAGCUAGAGUACAGGAGAGGAAAGCGGAAUUCCUAGUGUAGCGGUGAAAUGCGUAGAUAUUAGGAAGAACACCAGUGGCGAAGGCGGCUUUCUGGACUGAAACUGACGCUGAGGCACGAAAGCGUGGGGAGCGAACAGG
rnacentral:rRNA from 1 species